rnacentral:sRNA from 1 species
UCCACAUGCGAUGCGCGCCUUUUUCAUCCAUAUGAACUGUACAAGGUAUCCUGAAUAUGUAGCUCUCAGACACCCAAUGCCUCAUUAAUUUGCCGAUUCAAACUUUCGCGUAUCUCGAACACGCGCAGCUUGAAUUCGCCCCGAGUUUCUUUAGUUUAACUAGGAAGUUAGCGCAGGCACAGAUUGACAGGCGAUGCGAUCUGUCCUGCCUAUCAGCGAGCCGAAUGGGCCUCUGACGACAGGGAAUAUAUCCAAAGCUUGACUCAAUGCCGUAAUUAGGGGUGGAAGGUUAACUAUUGCCGCGUUAUUCUGUUUCGCUGCAAAAUCUAAUUUGCACGCGAGUUCUUGCUCUUCUUUUGUUUUGACUUCUUUAUUUAUUAAUCUAUUUAUUCUUGCCUCUUGUUCUAAAUGCAUCAGAAUAACUAACACCUUCGAAUCGGAAUACAAUAUUUAUAUCCAGAAACAUGUCCAACACCUCAGACGCUGUCGCCAAAAAACGCGGUCGACCAAAGAAAAUUGUCGUGGCGCCGGCAAUCGAAAAAAUUUCCACCACGGCCUCGAAAUCGACGACUAUCACUCCAGGCACAAGCAAAAAGCCAAUCUCGACCACGACGCCAACUCCAAGCAAAUCCCCGCUCAAAUCCUCGCGCAAAACCAAUUCCUCUCCCGCAUCGGAGUCUCACGCCGCAGCCAGCGCGCCAAUUGACCAGAAACCCGCAGCAAAGAAAGGCAGCCGGGCUCGGCAGAAGAAAACAUCUAUUUCUUCUCCUGACUCGUCGCAAGAACCGCUGGAAACACCCAGUGAUAGUAAUAAGGCAAAGAACGAGACAGCGGACGUGAAAUCUAGACCCAAGGCCGUCGCAUCGAAUCCACCUACCGAACCGUCCAUAGAGUCGCUAACUCCAUCCGCAGAAUUGAAGUCGAUUUCUCACACACAAUCUACAGAGUUACCAAGGAAGCAAAAAGUCACCGGGGGGAGGCAGCCGGAAACCAGAAGCACAGUUCAAUCUGUGGGGGGGAUAGAGCCAUCUUCUGGUGGCAGGGAGACAAUAGAGCAGACAAGACCUGCAAAUCCCGCCGACGCUGGUGCAGCCGUGAAGGGCUCCUAUAUCCUUAACGCUUUGGCGGCCAGCAGGAAAUCAACAAGAACCGCAACGUCCGUAGAGGACAAAACUAAGAUCUCAGGGCCCACAGAGCCCUCAACCGCAGCUCCAACGGACAUGCCUGCUCUGGCACGCAAGAAUGCCUCGUCGUCUGGGCCACGGCAGCGCCCGUCUCAACCGCCGCCCAUCAAGCCACCGUUGAUCCAGACUGCUUCCGCUCAGAGAGAAGCACAGCGGCUAAAACCGCAACAAGCUCCGGUUGUCAAUCCGCAGGAUAUCAGAAAUACGAAACAAUAUAAAACUGCUGCGAGAAGAUGGACAUCGGUAAUGGUCGCGUUGCCAAUUCUGUUAUAUACCAGUUACGCCCUCUAUGAACGAG